rnacentral:rRNA from 1 species
UACGUAGGGGGCAAGCGUUGUUCGGGAUGACUGGGCGUAAAGGGUGCGUAGGCGGUGUAGCAAGUUAGAAGUGAAAUACCUAGAGCUUAACUCAGGUGCUGCUUCUAAAACUGCUAUACUUGAGUGCAGUAGAGGAAAGUGGAAUUCCUAGUGUAGCGGUGGAAUGCGUAGAUAUUAGGAGGAACAUCAGUGGCGAAGGCGACUUUCUGGACUGUAACUGACGCUGAGGCACGAAAGUGUGGGGAGCAAACAGG